AACCCAUGGUGAGGGUACCUUCUCAAUAAGUCUUUGUAUCUCUCCCAUGUAUCGUAAAAAGUUUCUAAGUCUAUCUGCACAAACAGAGAGAUAUCAUUGUGUAAUU
rnacentral:snoRNA from 1 species